rnacentral:lncRNA from 1 species
CGUCGAGCAAAACCCCAUCAAUCUCGAACUCCAUCUCGGAGAAAUUGAGUUGGAUCUCCUAUAGGGCAAUACCGAUCUAGAACUCCUCCAUAAAAGUUUCACUAUUUCACUCCAUUGAGCACUCUCCAAGCUUAGAUACUGAUGGAGAUAGAAUGCUAAAAAGAACUCCCCAGACCAAGAAAAAUGGCUGCUUCAAUGCG